AGUGAACGCUGGCGGUAGGCCUAACACAUGCAAGUCGAACGGCAGCACAGUAAGAGCUUGCUCUUACGGGUGGCGAGUGGCGGACGGGUGAGGAAUACAUCGGAAUCUACUUUUUCGUGGGGGAUAACGUAGGGAAACUUACGCUAAUACCGCAUACGACCUACGGGUGAAGGCAGGGGAUCUUCGGACCUUGCGCGAUUGAAUGAGCCGAUGUCGGAUUAGCUAGUUGGCGGGGUAAAGGCCCACCAAGGCGACGAUCCGUAGCUGGUCUGAGAGGAUGAUCAGCCACACUGGAACCGAGACACGGUCCAGACUCCUACGGGAGGCAGCAGUGGGGAAUAUUGGACAAUGGGCGCAAGCCUGAUCCAGCCAUACCGCGUGGGUGAAGAAGGCCUUCGGGUUGUAAAGCCCUUUUGUUGGGAAAGAAAAGCAGCAGGUUAAUACCCCGCUGUUCUGACGGUACCCAAAGAAUAAGCACCGGCUAACUUCGUG
rnacentral:rRNA from 1 species